CGCGAAAACUCCACAAUGCACGCAAGUGUGAUAGGGCAACCCCUCGUGCUCAACUAACGUUGGGCUUUUAUUAUGUGUAAUGUACAUAAUGAAUAAGUGGUGGGCAAGACCGGUGCCAGCAGCCGCGGUAAUACCGGCGCCACGAGUGGAGUUCACUAUUAUUGGGUCUAAAGUGUCCGUAGCUGGUUUAUUAAGUCUCUUGUGAAAUUUCUGUUGCUUAACUCAGAAACUGCAAGAGAUACUGGUAAACUCGAGACCGGAAGAGGUGUAAGGUAUUAUUUGGGUAGCGGUAAAAUGCUAUAAUCCUUAUAAGACCAACUAAGGCGAAGGCAUUACACUGGAACGGAUCUGACUGUGAGGAACGAGAGCUGGGGAGCGAACCGGAUUAGAUACCCGGGUAGUCCCAGCCGUAAACGCUGCGGGUUACGCUUUGCUAAAUCUACGAGUUUUAGC
rnacentral:rRNA from 2 species